UCCACCACCGUCUCACAAAACGUGACAACGGGAUCAGCCACCUGGGAAACAGAAUAAAUUGUUAGGCAAGAUCUAAUUUUGUUGGAAGGACAACAUUCUGCCAAAGGGAAUUCUGAGGUUCCCUUGGCACUACCUUUGUGACAAAUCCCUGUCUUAAUCAGCAUCAGCAAUGAGUACAAUAGCACGUGAGAAGUCCUUACCAGCACUAAGGAGACUGAGAAAACUUCGUGGAGUAUGGAGUUUAUGUUCCUGAGCCAAGAGUACGUGGGAGUCAAACCUGGGCCUAAAGUAUCAUCCCCCAAGGAUGCUUUCAAGAUGAGAAAUUCGAGUCACAGAAGAAUCAGGUGGCUGACCCAGGUCUCACCACAUGGAAGGGCCAGGGCCACAAUAGGAACAAGAUUCAGGUCUUUCUCAAUAGGUCUAGGGCUCAUUCUACUAUAUCGCCUGCCUUCUGUGCCACUUAAAUAGAGGAGACAGGAGCUUAGGAGAAAAGAAAUCUGAGCCUGCUGCUUUUCCCAGUAUUUCCCAUUGCUUAUGAGUCUAUUUACAUCACUUAUGAGUCUCGUAAAAAUACUAGAACCUUG